GGCAACGUGGCCGAGUGGUCUAAGGCGCUGGAAUUAGGCAAUGCUCAUCUGAGUAGCUUUCUAUCCAGUCCGAAAGGGCGCGAGUUCGAACCUCGCCGUUGUCA